GGACUGUCUUAAAUCUUAUGUAAGUACACCAAUCCCAUUUUCAUCAAAAUCUUUUGAAUUUUCUGGUGGGUAGGAAAAAAGUUUAUUCUCGUAUAAGCUUGUAUGGGGUAUUAGGCACAGAACAUUGGUAUUGGAUCUAUUGUUAGUUUGAAUGAUUUCAUGGCAUUUAUAUUCAUCGGCAAUUCCUGUGUUGUACAGGUAAGAACAUUUGAAACACAUUG
rnacentral:misc_RNA from 1 species